rnacentral:lncRNA from 1 species
GAUCAGUUUAGCAUACAUUAAGUAAAGAUUUCAACAGUUUGCUCCCACACAGAAACAUAAAGUGAAAAAUACUAUUUGAGUACUAGUUAUAGCAUUAAAUCACAAUGUACAGCACAUUAAGGACAGAGAUCCUACAUGAGGAGUAAGUGCACAGUGACUCCUGUUGUUGACUUAACAAAUUGACACUCUUGUUUAUGACAUCAGUAAUCACCCUAGGCUCUUGUCAUGAGCUGCCAAGGCUAUGGAAGCCCCCUGAGUUCACUGACUCUGAUCAUUUUUAGACAAGGCCAUGGUCAAAGUGGAAGUUUUCUCCUCCCUUCAGAGAAAGGUACCUCCUUCUUUGAUGACCCGUUCUUUCCACUGGGAUCUCACUCGUGGAGAUCUUUCAUUUAGGUUCCCCUCCCCCCAGAGUGUCUUGGCUUUCCAUGCCUGAAAUACUCUCAUGGGCAUUUCAGCCGGAUCCGCAUGCCUUAAGGGCUGAUUAUGAGGCCAGAGUGCUGUUAGGACAUUUGCCAUUCUAUGGGUCUGCUGUGUAUCUCACUUCCCAUGUUGGACCAUUCUCUCCCUUUUUUAUCUGUUAAUGUUCUUGAAUGUCUUGAUUACCUUUAGAGCCCAAAUUCAGAAGAACAAUGGCCUUAAGAUGAUGGUUUCAGUGGGGUCGAAUGGUGGCUUUGUCUGAAAGUUUCUGUGCCAGCAACAGAGAGGUCUCUGAUGUGCCUGUAUUGUGCUACUAUGAAUGAAUCCCCCCAAUUUGACAGAUAUUCCCUUGGAUUUGCCACCUGAUUUUUGUGGUAACUCUAUAUGUGAACCAAUGUGUUGGGAGUCUGGUUGUCUUCUUGAGUCACCAAGAAGAGAAGAUCUGGCAGGGAAGGAAGAUGGGAUAGGAAAAGAUCCCUCGAUAUUUGUAAAGGUAGCAAGAGAGCCUAGGAAUUGUGAGGCUAAACACUGCACUCUGGGCCAUCAGUUUGAGAGUGGCUGAUUCUGGAAGGAAUCACUUAUGCCAUCAUAUCCUAGCCAGGAGGGCAAUUCUGAGACCCUCAUUAUCCAUGUUUACACUGAAAAAAAUAAAUAUUUUGAGACUCUCA